UACAGAGGUCCCAAGCGUUGUUCGGAUUCAUUGGGCGUAAAGGGUGCGUAGGCGGCGCGGUAAGUCGGGUGUGAAAUCUCGGAGCUUAACUCCGAAACUGCAUUCGAUACUGCCGUGCUUGAGGACUGGAGAGGAGACUGGAAUUUACGGUGUAGCGGUGAAAUGCGUAAAUAUCGUAAGGAAGACCAGUGGCGAAGGCGGGUCUCUGGACAGUUCCUGACGCUGAGGCACGAAGGCUAGGGGAGCAAACGGG
rnacentral:rRNA from 1 species